GACGUAGGGCGCGAGCGUUGUCCGGAUUAUUGGGCGUAAAGAGCUCGUAGGCGGUCUGUCGCGUCUGCUGUGAAAACUCAGGGCUUAACCCUGAGCUUGCAGUGGGUACGGGCAGACUAGAGUGCGGUAGGGGAGACUGGAAUUCCUGGUGUAGCGGUGAAAUGCGCAGAUAUCAGGAGGAACACCGGUGGCGAAGGCGGGUCUCUGGGCAACAACUGACGC
rnacentral:rRNA from 1 species